GCCGCGGAGCGACUGGGCCCGUGAGCCAUGGCCGCUGAGCCUGCGCGUCCGGAGCCUGUGCUCUGCAACGGGAGAGGCCACGGCAGUGAGAGGCCAGCGUACCGCAAAAAAAAAAAAAAAAUCAAAACCAGGGUAGAAGUGACAGAAGAGCUAUUUGUGACGCUGGGCCUGAGCCAAGCUGAGAGCCUUUCCCUUUGCUUUUGUUUUGUACCCUUUUGCUGUAGUAAAUUGUAGCCAUGAAUACAACCAUACGCUGAGGUCUAUGAGUCCUCCUAACAAAUUAUUGAACCCAGGGACGGUCUUGGGGACUCUCAACACAGGGAAAUCUUAAGACAUCGCUGUUUUAGUCGCUUCUUAGGCUGACUCCUGUUUGGGUGCAGUACUAGGAUGAGAGGUUAGAAGCUUGAGAUAAGACGUCAGCAGGGUUGGUUCCUUCUGAGGACUGUGAAGAAGAAUCUGUUCUAGCCUCUCUUCUAGCUUCUGGUGAUUGUUUGGUGAUCUUUGGUGUUUCUCUGGUGUUUUUUCAUCACCCUGCUCUCUGCUAUCAUCUUCACAUGACUUCUCCCUGUGUGCAACAUGUGUCCAAGUUUCCCCCUUUUUUAAGGACACCAGUCAUAUUGGAUUAGUGGCCCACCCUAGUCCAGUAUGUCAUCAUCUUUAAUUAUACCUGCAAGGACCUAUUUCCAAAUAUGGUCACGUUCUGAGGUACUGGGGGUUAGGAUUUCAACAUAUGAAUUUGGGGGGGGGGACACAACUCAUAACACAUGUGAAUGUGGUUAUGGUAAAUGGCCUUGUGUGAGAGAUUUACCCUCUCUGGACCUCAGAUUCUGCAUUUCUUAGGAAGGGUGAUUGUUACUGCUCUUGCUUCCUGAGUCUCCAGGAGACGAAGGAGGGGACCUGUCCUAUUCAAUAGGCUGAGAGGGAAUCAGGUCCAACCUCACUUUUUCUGUCUGGAUGAGAACCUGGAUGCAGGACUGUCUCCAUCAGUGCUGGUGGUGGAAAGUCCUUUUUUCUCACCCAACUCCAAUCAUUGUAUUAAUACAUAAGCUAUGCUUCAUUACCAGCUUAGCAGCAGCUACCCACCAGCCACCAGUGGCUCCAUCCCCAUUGCUAGGAUGGCAUAGCUCCCACCCCUCACCCUCCCAGUACCCGAGCAGUUGCAGGUUUUCCCAUCUAGCUCCAUAUUCUCCUUCUGAUUUAGUGGCACCCUGGCUAACUGAUGACUCCAGUCUCCCUUUCCCAGGCCCUGCCUUGUUCUCCCAAGACUAAUAAGGGGCAGAGCUAAUGUUUUUAGCCCAAGCCUCCACACCAACCCCAGACGAGGGGUACAUAACUGCACACUCAACAAUUCCUCUUAUCACAUGUCCUAUUAGAUCUGAAACUCUCCAAUAACUGUAUUGUCAAAGCUGUACAUGACGUAUUCCUAAUUCCUAGAAUGGAAUUCACUGAAAUUCUACUUUCAGAGCAGUACAUUUGCAUAGCCAGUGAACCAACCAUAGAAACAUUCUGGCAGUGAUUGAGCUCACAAGUGAGUACUAACAGAUUCUUACAAUGUAUUUAAUAAAAGCUAGUGGACUGCGUACUCACAGACAAGCUUUCAGGGUCAUGAAAGCAUGGGCUGAGAGGGACCUUGAAAGGAAAAGAAGACUAGGUAUAUGAUGUAAAGAAAGAAAGAGAAGAUCAGUGUGAAGUUUAAUUUCAUGUGUCAACUUGCCCAGGUUAUGGUACCCAGUUGUCCGGUCAAACACUCGUCUCGAUGUCGCCGUGAAGAUAUUGUGUAGAUGUGGUUAACAUUUAUAAUCAGUUGACUUUAGGUAGAGAAGGUUACCCUUGAUAAUGCUUCAUCAAAUCAGUUGAAUCUCUUAAAAGCAAACUCUAAGUUUUCCCGGAAAAUAAGGAAUUCUGUCUCAAGACUGUAAUGUGGAAAUCCUGCCAGAGUUUCCAGCUUGCCCUUUGGACUUCAGACUUGCCAACACCCACAAUCCAACUCCAGAUUAGGAGAAAAUACAUUCUCUGCAUUGUAUAGCAUAAAACAGCUCAGGACUGUUCCGGAAGAAGAAAUUACUUUGAUGCUGAGUGAAGCACAAAACACAGAACUGGAGGCAGAGGUGCAAAUAAGAUCUGUUAACAAGGACUGAGGAGGACCAAACUCAUUGAAAACCACGAGGCCUUGCAGCUAUGAAGGGGUAGAGCUGGACUAGAACCUGACUACAAUAAUCCACCUCUUUCCUGCUGCAUAUGGAAACGUUCAACAGUCAGCAAAGAGGACAUCUGUUAGCUUCGGUUUGGUCAAUCAGUGUCAAUGUGUAAAGGGAAAUCAGCAUGUGGCACAUAACUUGCGGAAAUGUUGCUGUAACGUUAAGUUAAAUUUCACCUUUGAGAAAGAAGUAAUGAAGGGCAUGGAAAAGAUUUUACUCCUUUAUAUCAAUCCUGAACACAUAGAAAUGGAAAUUACAACCAGUUACAAUGACACACUAAAAGACUUGGCCUUUAAAAAAAAAAAAAAGUAUUAGUUUGUCCUGGAGAUUAAAAGCUGGAAAGAGAUGUAGUGUUCCGUGAUACAAAAAUUAGACUGUAGAGACUUGCUGAUAUUUUAAAUCAUCACCCCAUUCCCCCCGAAAAGGAGGAAUGGUAACACACUGUGUUUACAACUACAGAGGUGAAUUGAAAACACUUAACCUGGAACUUUCUGCUCUGACUCUCUCCAAACAUCACAUAUCCUUUAAAAUUGAUGAAUUGGCUUACUGUGGUCUUGUCUAAAAGCAGAGGUCUAUGAGUUGAGUUCUUUCUGUGUUGGUGCCGAUGCUACAUGAGAGCUAGAAGGAGCCAGGACAGGCUCCAAGGGCCCUCUUUUUGUAGAGGACAGUACUAUGGCCCCAAACCCUCCCAGGAACCUCCUGUCAUUCCAAAUCUCUUCUCUCCUAACACUCCUCAGUUAGGCAUCAUUCACUCAGUCCUGAAAACUACCGGGUAUUCCAGGGAAGGACAGUCAGGGAAGCAGUUGCAGUCACCUUUGCACCACAGCUGCGUCUAAGAGCCCUAACUUCCGGGUUUAAGUCCUGUACCUCGUCCUUGUCUCGGUCUCUUUCCUCGCUCCUGUCCCUGUAUCUUACUAAAAGUGAAAAAUAUAAUGUCCUCUUAACUGGCUAAGGUAGAAAUGAGACAAAACCACCACCAUAACGCAAAUGAACUGAUUAUUAUUUAUUAUUUUAAAUUGUGGUAAAGUACACAUAACAUAAAAUUUACCAUCUUAACCAUCUUAAAAUGUACAGUUCAAUGCAACCAUCACCACCAUCCGUCUCCAGAACUUUUUCAUCAUCCUAAAAUGAAACUCUAUACCUAUUUAAACAAUAACUCCCCUUUCCCUCUAGCCCCUGGCAACCACCAUCUUACUUUCUGACUUUAUGAAUUUGACUACUCUAGAUGCGUCAUGUAAGUGGGAUUAUACAGUAUUUGUCCUUUUGUGACUGUUUCACUUAACGUAAGGUCCUCAAGGUCCAUCUAUGUUGUAGCAUGUGUCAAACUAUCCUUCCUUUUUAAGGUUGAAUAAUAUUCCAUUGUAUGUAUAGACUACAUUAUCCAUUCAGCCACUGACAGGUGAUUGGGAUGCUUCCAUUUUUCGGCUAUUGAACUGAUUUUUUAAGUCCUGCAUUUGAAUAAAAAUUGUAAAGAAACUUUCAAAGUACUUUUCCAUAGAUGAU